UAGACCACAAAUAAUUACUUUAAAAAGUAUUUCCAUAAAGAGUUUGGAAAAUGAAUACCUGUUCUGAGCUGCAGAGGAAGUCCAGCUUGAAGCCACAAUUCCAGCUUCAUGUGGUGGACAAGAAGAAGAAGAAGAAGAAGAAGAAGAAGAAGAAGAAGACACCUCAACCAUCAUGUAUGGAAAACUUGGUGAGCAGAAGUGACAUUACUGUAAGGAAGCUUUUUCCAAUUCAAAUUAAAAAAAAACAUUUUCAUCUUUGAGUUUUAGACAAAUUGAAAAGAAACUUGGUAAAAAUAAAAAAAAAACAUACAAAAAAAAUGUCUGAUCCAAACCCGCCAACCAUCAGAACCAGGAGAAAUCCCCGCCCUUGGCUGUCAAAAACACAAAAAAGUAAACAUUAACCACAAACUUGAACAAACUGACUUACCAAGGGUCAGCAGUCCAAGCUAAAACAACAUGACUCAGUGAUCCAGUAUGGCAUAAAUCAAGGAAAAAAAGAGCUGAGGAGCAGACAACGUAAAAGAAAAUGAGACAAAACUGCAGUGAAAGUGCUCCACUAUCAAACCUAACAUCUUCAAUCAGGCUGGUUAACUCAAAGUAAAUGGAGCCAAUGCACUUCAGCAUGUAACCACUAGGGUGCUUGAAUGAUCAAACCUGUCCUCAUUCCCUGAAGGGCAAAGUUUGAUCCUCUGGGAAAGAACAUGGUUUCCA